rnacentral:rRNA from 1 species
GAAAUGCGAUAAGUAAUGUGAAUUGCAGAAUUCAGUGAAUCAUCGAAUCUUUGAACGCACCUUGCGCUCCUUGGUAUUCCGAGGAGCAUGCCUGUUUGAGUGUCAUUAAUAUAUCAACAUUUUCGAGCCUUUUCUUGGAAUGUUGGAUGUUGGGGGUUUUUCUUUUGCUGGUUUUUUGUUAUAGAGGUCAGCUCCCCUGAAAUACAUUAGCGGAACAAUUUGUUGACCGUUUAUUGGUGUGAUAACUAUAUAUCUACGCUAUUAACGUGAAGUAGAGUUCAGCUUCUAACAGUCCAUUGACUUGGACAACUUUUAUUAAUGUGACCUCAAAUCAGGUAGGAUUACCCGCUGAACUUAA